AGUAAUACCGUAUGUGCCCUUCGGGGGAAAGAUUUAUCGCCUUUUGGAUUAGCCCGCGUUGGAUUAGGUAGUUGGUGGGGUAAUGGCCUACCCAAGCCGACGAUCCAUAGCUGGUUUGAGAGGAUGAUCAGCCACACUGGGACUGAGACACGGCCCAGACUCCUACGGGAGGCAGCAGUGGGGAAUCUUAGACAAUGGGGGAAACCCUGAUCUAGCCAUGCCGCGUGAGCGAUGAAGGCCUUAGGGUUGUAAAGCUCUUUCAGCUGGGAAGAUAAUGACGGUACCAGCAGAAGAAGCCCCGGCUAACUCCGUG
rnacentral:rRNA from 1 species